rnacentral:rRNA from 1 species
CCUAAAAGACCAUCCCAGUUCGGAUUGCAGGCUGAAACCCGCCUGUAUGAAGUUGGAAUCGCUAGUAAUCGCGGAUCAGCAUGCCGCGGUGAAUACGUUCCCGGGCCUUGUACACACCGCCCGUCACACCAUGAGAGUCGGGAACACCCGAAGUCCGUAGCCUAACCGCAAGGGGGGCGCGGCCGAAGGUGGGUUCGAUAAUUGGGGUGAAGUCGUAACAAGGUACC